rnacentral:lncRNA from 1 species
UCAGAUCCUUUAUAUUUAAAAUACUCAGAAAUGAAAAGAAAGGUAAUGAAUGGGAAGCUGAGAUUGAGUCCAAAUGAAGAAGCCUUCAUUUUGAAGGAAGAUUAUGAACGAAGACGGAAACUAAGAUUGCUACAGGUUCGAGAACAAGAAAGGGGCAUUGCCUUCCAGAUAAGAGAAGACAUAAAACAGAGGCGAAACCAGCAGGUUUCUCAUUUGGCUGAGGAGCUAAGGGCA